rnacentral:rRNA from 1 species
GACGAACGCUGGCGGCGUGCUUAACACAUGCAAGUCGAACGGGAAGGCCCUGCCUUGGUGGGCUGGGCUGGGUGCGAACUGGUGACUAACACGUGGGUAACCUGCCCUUGACUGUGGGAUAACUUCAUGAAACUGGGGCUAAUAGCGGAUAGGAGCUCCUGCUGCUUGGUGGGGGUGGGAAAGUUUCGGCGGUUGGGGAUGGACUCGCGGCUUAUCAGCUUGUUGGUGGGGUAGUGGCUUAGCAAGGCUUGGACGGGUAGCAGGCCUGAGAGGGUCAGCGGACACAUAGGGAUUGAGAUACGGCCCAGACUACUACGGGAGGGAGCAGUGGGGAAUAGUGCAUAAUGGGCGGAAGCCUGAUGCAGCAACGCCGCGUGCGGGAUGACGGCAUUCGGGUUGUAAACCGCUUUCGCCUGUGACGAAGCGUGAGUGACGGUAAUGGGUAAAGAAGCACCGGCUAACUACGUG